UUAAAAAGGUAAAAAAGGUCUCUUGUAUAUAUAAUUUUGUCACUAUUUCUACUGCUGUCUCCCAAACCAAAAAUUAAAGUUUGAUUAAAUAUGUCUAAAGGGUACAUGCCACAUUGCUAGUACUGUAACUUGCACAUUUUUUUUCCUAUUAAUUUUUGAAGGGAAUUCAAGGCCACCACGGGGCAAAAGGAGAGAGAGGUGAAAAGGGAGAGACUGGUGCUAGAGGCGCCACUGGAGCCAAAGGAGAGUCUGGGGUGGACGGUCUGAUGGGGCCCCCAGGCCCCCAGGGGCCACCUGGGAAUCCAGGUCCUCCGGGCGCCCCAGGACUGGAUGGGAAACCCGGGAGAGAAUUUUCAGAACAGUUUAUUCGACAAGUUUGCACUGAUGUAUUAAGAGGUAAGUCUCAAACAUACAGAUUUUAACAACUUUCAAAUUUCAGAAGUAAUAUAAAUAUUUUCCUAGAAAUUAUAAAGGUAUAAGUAAGAUAGAGAAAAAAUAAAGGACAUUUAUCAAUCUUUGUCUUUCCUAGGUAAGUAUUUUUAUAUUUAACUUUUAUAAUCUUUUUCCUAAAGUAAUUUAUCAUUAUUUCACCAUUG